rnacentral:rRNA from 1 species
ACACCUGUUCCCAUGCCGAACACAGAAGUUAAGCUCUUUAGCGCCGAUGGUAGUUGAACUGACGUUCCGCUAGAGUAGGACGGUGCCAGGU